rnacentral:misc_RNA from 1 species
UCCAACUUAUCGCUGGCGGUCAGAAACAUGUCAAACCCAGGUAAGGUUCUUCGCGUUGCGUCGAAUUAAACCACAUGCUCCGCUGCUUGUGCGGGCCCCCGUCAAUUCCUUUGAGUUUUAGCCUUGCGGCCGUACUCCCCAGGCGGGGCACUUAAUGCGUUAGCUCCGGCACGGGAGGAGUCGACACCUCCCACACCUAGUGCCCAUCGUUUACGGCGUGGACUAC